GAAAAGUCAGCAUUCAGUUUUUGUUGUUGGUGGUGGUUCUUGAAGAUAAUGUCUUUUUUACUGUGGCUAUACCUCUAAUUUUCACUUUUCUCAGGAGCUACUUGAAGACAAUGCCUGCACAUCACUAGAGAUCCUGGAUUUGAAGCUGGAGGGACUGUACUUCAUGUAGGCAGAGCGUCUUGGAUCACGACAAAAGGAAGGAAGAGACAAUCAUAAAGCUGAACAAUCUCAGAGGAGGCAGCACUGAAUCUCAUCCAGCAUCUAGAUCUAACUACUACUUUACAAAAAGUGCAGAGGACGUUUACAUGACACCACCAGUGUGCAAUCAGCAAACUCAGAACAUGGAAAACGCCAUAAGACGAAAGACCUGGUUUCUUCAACAAAUACAAUUUAAGGGAAAAGAGAGGGCGACUAUAGAUGAAAAAGGACCCAGAGAUACAUCAGCAGGGGAAGCUUAAAUAUUUCAUGAUACAUUUAGACCUAAUCUGACCUGAAAUAAUCAAAUAAAUGCUGAAAUGUUU
rnacentral:lncRNA from 1 species